GGUUCGAUGGCGUAGUUGGUUAUCGCAUCUGUCUAACAUAACGUGAAUGCCUUAUCAUUCCUGUUGCUGCACAGAAGGUCCCCAGUUCGAGCCUGGGUCGAAUCA